UACGUAGGGGGCGAGCGUUGUCCGGAAUCAUUGGGCGUAAAGCGCGUGUAGGCGGCUCGGUAAGUCCGGUGUGAAACCUUGGGGCUCAACCCCAAGCCUGCACUGGAUACUGUCGAGCUCGAGUCCGGGAGGGGAGAGCGGAAUUCCUAGUGUAGCGGUGAAAUGCGCAGAUAUCAGGAGGAACACCAAUGGCGAAGGCAGCUCGCUGGGACGGUACUGACGCUGAGGCGCGAAAGCGUGGGGAGCAAACAGG
rnacentral:rRNA from 1 species